CCCCUUCCCGGGUUUUCCUGCCCCUGUUUUCUCUGGAAUGCUGGGAAAGGGCGGGAAGUUGAUGGGGUGGGAUCAGCGUGGCAUUCCAGAGGUGAGGAAAACCACCCCUAUGUCCCUGUUUUCCUGCCCUGAUUUCCCUGGAAUGCUGGGAAAGGGUGGGAAGGUGAUGGGGUGGGUUCAGCGUGGCAUUCCAGAGCUUGGAUCCCAACCCUCUGCAGGAGGAGGAGGAGGAGAGGAGGAGCUCCAGGCUCAAGGAUCUGAUCCGGGAAUACUUCGAGCAGGAUGGACUCGGAUCCCAGGAGGAGGAGGAGGAGGAGCAGGAGGAGGAGGAGGAGGAGGAGCUGGGAAGGGCUCAGGAUCUGCGGGACUGGGAGAGCUGGGUCCGCUCUGACAUCCGAUGCUUCCUGUCCGUCCGCCCCGACGAGAAGUUCUCCGGGAGAGCCAUCGCCAGGAUAUUCCACGGGAUCAGCAGCCCCCGCUUCCCGGCACAGAUCUACGGGCGGGAUCGGCGCUUCUGGAGGAGGCACCUCCCCCUGGAUUUCCACUGGAUCGCCCGCCUGGCC